UACGUAGGGGGCAAGCGUUGUCCGGAUUCAUUGGGCGUAAAGCGCGGGCAGGCGGCCCGCUCAGUCGGCCGUGAAAGCGCCGGGCUCAACUCGGCGAGGUCGGGCGAUACUGGCGGGCUCGAGGCUGGUAGAGGGCGGUGGAAUUCCGGGUGUAGUGGUGGAAUGCGUAGAGCUCCGGAGGAACACCAGUGGCGAGGACGGC
rnacentral:rRNA from 1 species